rnacentral:tRNA from 1 species
GCCUAAAUAGCUCAGUUGGUAGAGCAGCGCAUUCGUAAUGCGAAGGUCGUCGGUUCGAGUCCGGCUUUGGGCA